AGUGAACGCUGGCGGUAGGCCUAACACGUGCAAGUCGAACGGCAGCACAGUAAGAGCUUGCUCUUACGGGUGGCGAGUGGCGGACGGGUGAGGAAUACAUCGGAAUCUACCUUUUCGUGGGGGAUAACGUAGGGAAACUUACGCUAAUACCGCAUACGACCUACGGGUGAAAGCAGGGGAUCUUCGGACCUUGCGCGAUUGAAUGAGCCGAUGUCGGAUUAGCUAGUUGGCGGGGUAAAGGCCCACCAAGGCGACGAUCCGUAGCUGGUCUGAGAGGAUGAUCAGCCACACUGGAACUGAGACACAGUCCAGACUCCUACGGGAGGCAGCAGUGGGGAAUAUUGGACAAUGGGCGCAAGCCUGAUCCAGCCAUACCGCGUGGGUGAAGAAGGCCUUCGGGUUGUAAAGCCCUCUUGUUGGGAAAGAAAAGCAGCAGGUUAAUACCCCGCUGUUCUGACGGUACCCAAAGAAUAAGCACCGGCUAACUUCGUG
rnacentral:rRNA from 1 species